rnacentral:rRNA from 1 species
UACGUAGGGUGCGAGCGUUGUCCGGAAUUACUGGGCGUAAAGAGCUCGUAGGUGGUUUGUCGCGUUGUUCGUGAAAUCUCACGGCUUAACUGUGAGCGUGCGGGCGAUACGGGCAGACUAGAGUACUGCAGGGGAGACUGGAAUUCCUGGUGUAGCGGUGGAAUGCGCAGAUAUCAGGAGGAACACCGGUGGCGAAGGCGGGUCUCUGGGCAGUAACUGACGCUGAGGAGCGAAAGCGUGGUGAGCGAACAGG